GACGAACGCUGGCGGCGUGCUUAACACAUGCAAGUCGAGCGAUGAAAGCCUUAUGAACUAUUCGUAGUGAUUGAGGCCGGAUUAGCGGCGGACGGGUGAGUAACGCGUGAGCAACCUGCCUUAAACAACGGGAUAGCCACGGGAAACCGGGAUUAAUACCGUAUGAGACCCCGCCUUCACAUGAAGAAGAGGUUAAAGAUUUAUCGGUUUAAGAUGGGCUCGCGUCUGAUUAGCUAGUUGGUGAGAUAAAAGCCCACCAAGGCAACGAUCAGUAACCGGCUUGGGAGAGUGAACGGUCGCAUUGGAACUGAGACACGGUCCAAACUCCUACGGGAGGCAGCAGUGGGGAAUAUUGCACAAUGGGGGAAACCCUGAUGCAGCGACGCCGCGUGAGCGAUGAAGGAAUUCGUUUCGUAAAGCUCUGUCCAAGGGGAAGAUAAUGACAGUACCCUUGGAGGAAGCCCCGGCUAAAUACGUGCCAGCCGCCGCGGUAA
rnacentral:rRNA from 1 species